AUUGAACGCUGGCGGCAUGCCUUACACAUGCAAGUCGAACGGUAACGGGCCUUCGGGUGCCGACGAGUGGCGAACGGGUGAGUAAUGUAUCGGAACGUACCUUUCAGUGGGGGAUAACGUAGCGAAAGUUACGCUAAUACCGCAUAUUCUGUGCGCAGGAAAGCAGGGGAUCGCAAGACCUUGCGCUGAUUGAGCGGCCGAUAUCAGAUUAGCUAGUUGGUGAGGUAAAGGCUCACCAAGGCGACGAUCUGUAGCGGGUCUGAGAGGAUGAUCCGCCACACUGGAACUGAGACACGGUCCAGACUCCUACGGGAGGCAGCAGUGGGGAAUUUUGGACAAUGGGGGCAACCCUGAUCCAGCCAUGCCGCGUGAGUGAAGAAGGCCUCGGUGUAAGCUCUUCGUCCGGGACGAAGUACGUAUCAGC
rnacentral:rRNA from 1 species